CUUUAUAUUUUCAGAAAAAUACAUCUUUUUUGAAAUUAGGGUGAAACACACCGAAGAAUAUUAAAUUUGACAGGUGACCUCUAAUAAAAACAAACAAAACAAAACAAAAAUAACGCUUUUAGAACUAAGAGUGUAGAGGGUAAAAUAGGCAGAUGCAUUCUAUAAAAUUUUAUGUAAAAGAAUGUUCACUGGAAGAGCAUCCACUUGGCUCUCCAAAAUUCGCAAUGUGAGACAAGGGACAAAGCCAGGGAGUCUAAUUGGGCCUCUUGUCUCUAUAGAAACAGCUUUAUUGACACCCACUUCUUUUCUAUUUCUAUGGUAACAAGACACAGAAGUACCUUAGAAAUGAAAAGGGUAAAGAGAAGAGAUCUCUUAAGUGCUGAUGGAGGUGUUUACCUAAAGGAACAACAUCUCAGAUCUCACCAGUCAGACAGGACUUGAUGCUUGCAGGCCCCCUCCAGAAUGUGUUCCACUCACCUUUCUGCCUUCCUGUCUCUCCCUCUCUUCCAGCGUAUCACUCUGUUGGAAAUAUGUAAAAUACUGAUGGUGGAAAAGAUGAAUUUACCUGUCAGGAGCUUCAGAAUUUACAAAAGCAUGGCUACCUGAUGUUGGAUCUAAAUGGAAACUUCUACAUAUAUAGUUUUCCCAGCAGGCCUUUUUGAACCAUUCCCUCUGUUUUGUACGAAAUAAAAUUUAUUCAUUGUUUCUGCA
rnacentral:lncRNA from 1 species